rnacentral:tRNA from 1 species
GCGCCCGUAGCUCAGGGGACAGAGUGGCAGACUUCGAAUCUGAAGGUCGUGGGUUCAAAUCCUACCGGGCGCACCA